AACUGGUUCAUUUCCCAGCUCACUUAACUCCUUCAUUCAUGUGAUGGUUUUGGCUUAAGCACCUUCUUAAAAUGUAUUUCACUUGACCGAAUGAAUGAAACCAAAAGCUUUAUAACCCCAUUCAUAAGAUACCAUAUAUGAGAACUCAAAAAGACCAACUCCAUUCUGCAUUGUUUGAUAAGUAAAGGCCACAAUACCAUAAGCUAGAGCAGACCUUAAAGCGACAACUCCAAUAACUUCCAUACCGAGAAUCCCUAUACAUCACCCACCCCAUAACUAUAUUUUUACCAGCAACUACAAUACAUAUAUAUGUUCCGUUCAAAAAUAAAAAUCCAUAACCAUAACUGACCUCAUAUGAUUCCUUUAGAGAACCAAUAAUCAUAUUGAAUCAUUA
rnacentral:lncRNA from 1 species